CCUACGGGAGGCAGCAGUGGGGAAUUUUGGACAAUGGGCGCAAGCCUGAUCCAGCCAUGCCGCGUGAGUGAUGAAGGCCCUAGGGUUGUAAAGCUCUUUCACCGGUGAAGAUAAUGACGGUAACCGGAGAAGAAGCCCCGGCUAACUACGUGCCAGCAGCCGCGGUAAUACGUAGGGUGCGAGCGUUAAUCGGAAUUACUGGGCGUAAAGCGUGCGCAGGCGGUUGUGUAAGACAGAUGUGAAAUCCCCGGGCUCAACCUGGGAACUGCGCUUGUGACUGCACGGCUAGAGUACGGCAGAGGGGGGUGGAAUUCCACGUGUAGCAGUGAAAUGCGUAGAGAUGUGGAGGAACACCGAUGGCGAAGGCAGCCCCCUGGGCCUGUACUGACGCUCAUGCACGAAAGCGUGGGGAGCAAACAGGAUUAGAUACCCUGGUAGUCCACGCCUUAAACGAUGUCGACUAGUUGUUCGGAAAGGAAACUUUCUGAGUAACGCAGCUAACGCGUGAAGUCGACCGCCUGGGGAGUACGGUCGCAAGAUUAAAACUCAAAUGAAUUGACG
rnacentral:rRNA from 1 species